rnacentral:rRNA from 1 species
AGUUUGAUCCUGGCUCAGGACGAACGCUGGCGGCGCGCCUAACACAUGCAAGUCGAACGAGAGAGAGGGAGCUUGCUUCUUCAAUCGAGUGGCGAACGGGUGAGUAACGCGUGAGGAACCUGCCUCAAAGAGGGGGACAACAGUUGGAAACGACUGCUAAUACCGCAUAAGCCCACGGCUCGGCAUCGAGCAGAGGGAAAAGGAGCAAUCCGCUUUGAGAUGGCCUCGCGUCCGAUUAGCUAGUUGGUGAGGUAAUGGCCCACCAAGGCAACGAUCGGUAGCCGGACUGAGAGGUUGAACGGCCACAUUGGGACUGAGACACGGCCCAGACUCCUACGGGAGGCAGCAGUGGGGAAUAUUGCACAAUGGGGGAAACCCUGAUGCAGCGACGCCGCGUGGAGGAAGAAGGUCUUCGGAUUGUAAACUCCUGUUGUUGAGGAAGAUAAUGACGGUACUCAACAAGGAAGUGACGGCUAACUACGUGCCAGCAGCCGCGGUAAAACGUAGGUCACAAGCGUUGUCCGGAAUUACUGGGUGUAAAGGGAGCGCAGGCGGGAAGACAAGUUGGAAGUGAAAUCUAUGGGCUCAACCCAUAAACUGCUUUCAAAACUGUUUUUCUUGAGUAGUGCAGAGGUAGGCGGAAUUCCCGGUGUAGCGGUGGAAUGCGUAGAUAUCGGGAGGAACACCAGUGGCGAAGGCGGCCUACUGGGCACCAACUGACGCUGAGGCUCGAAAGUGUGGGUAGCAAACAGGAUUAGAUACCCUGGUAGUCCACACCGUAAACGAUGAUUACUAGGUGUUGGAGGAUUGACCCCUUCAGUGCCGCAGUUAACACAAUAAGUAAUCCACCUGGGGAGUACGACCGCAAGGUUGAAACUCAAAGGAAUUGACGGGGGCCCGCACAAGCAGUGGAGUAUGUGGUUUAAUUCGACGCAACGCGAAGAACCUUACCAAGUCUUGACAUCCUGCGACGCGCAUAGAAAUAUGUUUUUCCUUCGGGACGCAGAGACAGGUGGUGCAUGGUUGUCGUCAGCUCGUGUCGUGAGAUGUUGGGUUAAGUCCCGCAACGAGCGCAACCCUUAUUGCCAGUUACUACGUUAAGAGGACUCUGGCGAGACUGCCGUUGACAAAACGGAGGAAGGUGGGGAUGACGUCAAAUCAUCAUGCCCUUUAUGACUUGGGCUACACACGUACUACAAUGGCGUUAAACAAAGAGAAGCAAGACCGCGAGGUGGAGCAAAACUCAGAAACAACGUCCCAGUUCGGACUGCAGGCUGCAACUCGCCUGCACGAAGUCGGAAUUGCUAGUAAUCGUGGAUCAGCAUGCCACGGUGAAUACGUUCCCGGGCCUUGCACACACCGCCCGUCAA